rnacentral:sRNA from 1 species
UGUGUAAAAACCGCUAAAUCCUCUUUGAAUUCUGUGUAAAAAUACCGCAACGUCCUCUUUAAAUUCUGUGUAAAAAACGUUACAUCCUCUUUGAAUUAUGUGUAAAAAACGCUAUAUCCUCUUUAAAUUCUGUGUAAAAAUACCGCUGCAUCCUCUUUGAAUUCUGUGUAAAAAUACCGCUGCAUCCUCUUUGAAUUCUGUGUAAAANAACGCURCAUCCUCWUUGAAUUCUGUGUAAAAAUACCGCUGCWUCCUCUUUGARUUCUGNUGUAAAAAACGCUACAUCCUCWUUGAAUUCUGUGUAAAAAUACCGCUGCAUCCUCUUUGAAUUCUGUGUAAAAAUACCGCUGCAUCCUCUUUGARUUCUGUGUAAAAAUAMCGCUGCAUCCUCUUUGARUUCUGUNGUAAAAAACGCUACAUCCUCWUUGAAUUCUGUGUAAAAAUACCGCUGCWUCCUCUUUGAGUUCUGUNGUAAAAAWCGCURCAUCCUCWUUGAAUUCUGUGUAAAAAUACCGCUGCWUCCUCWUUGAAUUCUGUGUAAAAAUACCGCUGCAUCCUCUUUGARUUYUGUGUAAAAAUACCGCURCAUCCUCUUUGAAUUCUGUGUAAAAAUAMCGCUGCAUCCUCUUUGARUUCUGUURWAAAWAMCGCURCAUCCUCWUUGAAUUCUGUGUAAAAAUACCGCUGCUUCCUCUUUGAAUUCUGUGUAAAAAACGCUACAUCCUCUU